rnacentral:rRNA from 1 species
UACGGAAGGGGCGAGCGUUGUUCGGAAUCACUGGGCGUAAAGCGCGCGUAGGCGGCUUUGUAAGUGCGGCGUGAAAGUCCUGGGCUCAACCUGGGGACGGCGCUGCGGACUGCAUGGCUGGAGUCCGGAAGAGGAUGGUGGAAUUCCGAGUGUAGAGGUGAAAUUCGUAGAUAUUCGGAGGAACACCGGUGGCGAAGGCGGCCACCUGGUCCGGCACUGACGCUGUAGCGCGAAAGCGUGGGGAGCAAACCGG